rnacentral:tRNA from 1 species
CAAAAUGUAGCUUAAUAAAAGCCUCUUACUUACACCAAGAACAUAUCUGCUAAUCCAGAUCAUUUUGAG